GUCCUGUACACACCUGCUUGGGAGAGUGAAACAGCAGAGGUGGCGCUGUUCUUUUUGUCAUGUAAGCAGCUUUUUCCUCAAACAUUCUUCAGGAGCAGCCUAAAAGCCCAAACCACUCCCCAGCUGCCAAAAUGAUCCUCUCCGCAUGAUGCCGAACAGACAGCAAAGCUUUAUUCUUCCAUUUCACACAGGGGAACAUUUUUAAGACAUAAUCUACUUCAUUAAUCAAACAAUUUAAGGCCAGAAACUCCUUUUUGUGUAAAGGAUGGCAGAUGCAGACAGUAGCAGAGCGAGGUGAUCAAGACACAAGGAGGAUUCAGACGAAGUCUGUUGACAUCUGAAGAGGAGACUGAGCUACUAGAAACUUCUAAAUGAAGAUCUGUUUCGCAGCCCAGACUACAGUUUUUAUUCAGCAUUAACAGAUUUUUAUGUGCGUGUAUUUCUGUAUGUUUCGUUUGUGCGUAGCACUUUCCUGAGACAAUAAAUGUUUUAAAAUG